rnacentral:rRNA from 1 species
GAUGAACGCUGGCGGCGUGCCUAAUACAUGCAAGUCGAGCGAACAGACGAGGAGCUUGCUCCUCUGACGUUAGCGGCGGACGGGUGAGUAACACGUGGAUAACCUACCUAUAAGACUGGGAUAACUUCGGGAAACCGGAGCUAAUACCGGAUAAUAUAUUGAACCGCAUGGUUCAAUAGUGAAAGACGGUUUUGCUGUCACUUAUAGAUGGAUCCGCGCCGCAUUAGCUAGUUGGUAAGGUAACGGCUUACCAAGGCAACGAUGCGUAGCCGACCUGAGAGGGUGAUCGGCCACCCUGGAACUGGGCCACGGUCCAGACUCCUACGGGAGGCCGCAGUAGGGAAUCUUCCGCAAUGGGCGAAAGCCUGACGGAGCAACGCCGCGUGAGUGAUGAAGGUCUUCGGAUCGUAAAACUCUGUUAUGAGGGAAGAACAAAUGUGUAAGUAACUAUGCACGUCUUGACGGUACCUAAUCAGAAAGCCACGGCUAACUACGUG